rnacentral:tRNA from 1 species
AGGCCUGUAGCUCAGUGGUAGAGCGCCGGCUUUGCAAGCCGGAGGUCCCGGGUUUGAGUCCCUCCGGGCCCGC